rnacentral:rRNA from 1 species
CCUACGGGAGGCAGCAGUGGGGAAUUUUGGACAAUGGGCGAAAGCCUGAUCCAGCCAUUCCGCGUGAGUGAAGAAGGCCUUCGGGUUGUAAAGCUCUUUCGCAAGGGAAGAAAACUUAGAUACUAAUAUUAUCUGAGGUUGACGGUACCUUGAUAAGAAGCACCGGCUAACUACGUGCCAGCAGCCGCGGUAAUACGUAGGGUGCGAGCGUUAAUCGGAAUUACUGGGCGUAAAGCGUGCGCAGGCGGUUUUGUAAGUCAGAUGUGAAAUCCCCGAGCUCAACUUGGGAACUGCGUUUGAAACUACAAGACUAGAAUAUGUCAGAGGGGGGUAGAAUUCCACGUGUAGCAGUGAAAUGCGUAGAGAUGUGGAGGAAUACCAAUGGCGAAGGCAGCCCCCUGGGAUAAUAUUGACGCUCAUGCAUGAAAGCGUGGGGAGCAAACAGGAUUAGAUACCCUGGUAGUCCCACGACCUAACGAUGUCUACUAGUUGUUGGUGGUAGUAAAUACUAUGAGUACGCAGCGUACGCGUGAGUAGACCGCCGNGGGAGGUACGGUCGCGAGAGUAAACUACGAAGAAGUUAGACGGCGUGAGACGUAGCCGACGGACGACGACGAGGGAGGAGG